UACAGAGACUGCAAGCGUUAUUCGGAUUCACUGGGCGUAAAGGGUGCGCAGGCGGCCGAGUGUGUGAGGCGUGAAAGCCCGGGGCUUAACCCCGGAAUUGCACCUCAAACUACACGGCUAGAGCAUUGGAGAGGGUAGCAGAAUUCAUGGUGUAGCAGUGAAAUGCGUAGAUAUCAGGAGGAACACCCGUGGCGAAAGCGGCUCUCUGGGACGGUACUGACGCUGAGACGCGAAAGCGUGGGGAGCGGACAGG
rnacentral:rRNA from 1 species